CGACGGUAUUAAAAUACCUAGACAAAAAUAAAUGCUUAAAAUUAUUGAAAUUCUCAACAAAAUUUAAACACUUUGAAUAUUAAUUUAACACUUUGACUUUUUUGGGGCUACCCCCUGAAAUCAAAGAUUGACCCAUCACUAGGCUAAAUUCCACGGGAACCCCUCCCUCCAAUCGCUUAAAGUUUGUAUGGGAAAAAUCGUCAAAAUGUAUGGAGAAAAGCAACUGUUUUACUUUUUUACCUGUGGAAGGCGCCAUAAUUAUUCGACUCUUACCAUUUCUCAAAUGUAGAACCUUCAUUAAAUUUAGAACAACUUUCCCGAAGACACCAUAUUUUUAGGAUUUCUUCCCGCGAAGUUAUUAGCUCCCAAAACUGACCCUUUUUGCGCGGCCAGCUGUAAGCGGCUACCUAACAACGAUGUUUAUUUCCAAUUCGUACACGCACGUGCUCUCUCUCAGGUUCAAACUCUCUCACGAGCUUGCUCGCCUGCCUGCCUACCUGUUUACCUACAAGCGCGCGCUGAUUCUCUGCAUGGACUUUUGUCGUCGUUGUCGUUUUCGUUUGCUAUCCGCUGCGCUGCGUUCUUGACAUGUUUAUUAUAAUUUUCAACUAAAAUACUAGGUUUGUUUUGUUAAGAUAUAAAAUGUAAUGUAAUAUGUGAUCAACAGUAGAUAUCAUAUUGUAAGACCGUGUGAGAGAGAAUACAAAUUUGAUGAAUUAGUUCAUCCAUGAAUCGUCAUCUGUUCUGAUCCAAACCUAAUUGCAAACGUUUUGGAUUUUAAUUUAUCUGCUUUUGUUACAAGAAAUACCAUGCAGUUUUCUUAGAUAAAAAAGGAAGACAUUUUCUUUGGAUUUUUUAAAAAACUGAAUCCAAAGUCCUAGGAUGGCCAAAGACAUCCCAACACAUUAACAAAGCAGUCUACCAUACUGACUAAAGCUAUGCGGGUAUGUUCCGUUGUCAAAACCGGUAGACAUUUUGCUUGUUACGGUAGUAGACCCACAGAUCUUAACUCCAGGAAGUCCUUGGAUGACCCAGGACAUACUAACACAUUAGCAAAGUAGUCUACCACACUCACUGAAGCUAUGCGGGUAUGAUCAGCGGCCAAAAACCGCCGACAUCUUGCUUGUUACGGCGGUAGACUCACCGGUCUUAACGCCAAGGAGUUCUCGGAUGACUCAGACCAUCCUAAUAAGUUGUUACAACAUUGGACUGAAGCCUUCCAUACUCACUGAAGCAGUCUAGGUCGGAUCCGGUUUCAAAACCUUGAAGUUUCGACUUGUUUCUAUGGGAUGCCUCUUGCACAAACGGUUCAAACGGUUAAAAACAAGAGAAAUCAUGUUUCAAUCAUGCUAAGACAUAUCAGAAUUUAUAGUUUUUGCUGAUACGCGUCGAAUGAAGUCAAGAAAAUCGAAAUCCAUAAUGAAACAGAGAUUUUAUAAAUGAUUUUAGAAAUAGCAAAAAUACGAUUUUUUUGUACAUUUUAACCCAAAAUACUCAAACUUCAACAGCAUGUAACUUUUGAACCCCGGGGUUUAGAGAGUUGGUCCAGAAGACUUUUUCUCAUGUCUCGGCGAGAUCUUUCGAAAAAAGUUGGUCCCGUUCGUGUACAUUCUUGGACCAGCUUCCAUACAAAUUUGCCCAUUCUCCUUUCCAUAAAGAACAAAAAAAUCAUUUUAGAGAGAAUGAAUGAAAAUUUGCAGCAAUAAUUGUAAAAUUGCCUUGAUUUGUUCUGAUUUGUACUAAAGUAUAUUUUUGUUAAAACAAACUACCUAAAGAAACAACAUUUGUAUUACCUGAAGUUUUUUUUUUAAAUAAUUGAAUCAUUAUCGUGUUUCUUUAGCAUAUACGAAAAACUGCGUUUAAUGCUUGGAAAAACAAACAAACCCUGUUCUCAUGACAUUUGCUGUAACUUUUUAAGUGAGCCUAAGCUGUCUUUUAUUCAAAUUAUUUUUUUUCAGCGCAGUUUUUUUAUGUUUGACAUAAUUUAAGAAUUUAUAUGCUAAGUAUAUCUCAAAACAAUCCUGCUAUUUUAGUUGAAAAUUAUAAUAAACAUGCCAGAAACGCAGCGCAGAGGAUAUCGAUUGGUCGAAAGGACGACAAACGUGCGACAAACACUCGACAUGCUCGACAUUGUUUUUUCCAUCGAUUCACCUUCAAUUCGACGUCGAUUAUCGUCGACGCAAACAGUUUGACAGUUCUCUUCAGUUGAUCUUGUUCGGACUUGAUCAAAUCAGAAAAACAAUAUUGUUGUAAAGGUUCGUGAGGAUCAUGGCUUUCUACCUAAGGUACUCGCGAUUGAGUGUGUAGUAGUGCGGUUGUCAAAAUCGUUAUCUCGGACUCUCUCACUCCACUGACACUGACAUUGUUUAUGUUUUGGUUUUCCUGGCACGGUCCAUUGUUCGUUUGUUAUUGUUUUGGUUUUAGUGGCACGGAGUCAUGCACUCACACUAAUGCAAAGCAAGAUCGCGAGUACCUAUGAUAUACAGCCUUGCGUGAGGAUUUUGGCUGGUUGAUUGGUAAGUUGUGUUCUUUUUUUUGCUGGAAAGUUCCGGCCGGAGUGGGCGAGCGGCUAAAUCAUAACAUUAUGUUCCAGACUUCCUGAUUUCAGCCUUCGCGACGGUGGAAGAGAACGUGAAACAUCGUUAACCCGGCGGAUCAUGCCGGAAGAUGGGACGGGAAGGAACCGGUCUGCGAUCGAAAGCGGAUUGGGAUCUGUAUCAAACAGUCUCCAAACAGGACAAUGAAAGUGUUGAUGGUGUUUGAUUUUUAGAGAAUGUCAAAAUCGCCAUUAUCAAUACUAAGACCUGGAAAAAAAGAACAAACUUGCGGCCGAGUACAACCUCUGAGUGAAAGCGAUGGAGGUGAACGAACUACUCACGGGGCAGCACACGAAUUCUACCGGAUUGGCCAUCAUCAAGCGAAAUUUGGAAAAUUGUGACUGCAGUGAUAGUGAAUAUUUGGAAAACAAAGUGCCAGGCCAGUGAAAACUAAUAAAUAUCAAUAAAAAUCAGCAAAACAACAAAUAAAAUGAAUUUUAUUUCGAAAAUAACCUAAAAAUUCCGAAAUGACAGCACACGACAAUAGCACGACAUCCUAAAUAACAAAACCGUGCGACGUCGGUCGAAUGUCGUACGACAAUGUCGAACAAUUUCGAUGAUCGAUCGCACGACAAAUACGACAUUUUGGUGCAAAAACGUAUGACAUUCGUGCGAAUGUCGCACGACAUUGUCGUGCGACGUCGUACGAUUGCACGUACGACAAACGACGGACGUCGGACGGACUUUUCAGUCAGGGAGCUCGUGAGAGAGUUUGAACCUGAUGGUACGUUCGUUUGAGGGCUAGUUCCGCACUGAGUGCCGCAUUCAGAGCUGUCAAAGUGUUUGUUUGAAGAAACUCGCGCUAGUUCGCACGAGUUUUGCCGCCAUCUUGGAACUGAACCUCUAGUGCCGCACUCGAUUUUUUUUCAGUUUCAUGCGAGUUCCAUGCACACUGAAAAAGAAUGUUCGUUUGAACCAAAACUGGCACCGACGAGUGUGGCACUCAGUGCCGCACUGGCUGUUCAAACGAACGUACCAUGAGAGAAAGCACGUGCGUGUACGAAUUGGAAAUAAACAUCGUUGUUAGGUUGCCUUUUACAGCUGGCCGCGCAAAAAAGGUCAGUUUUGGGCGCUAAUAACUUCGCGGGAAAAAAUCCUAAAAAUAUGGUGUCUUGGGGAAAGUUGUUCUAAAUUUAAUGAAGGUUCUACAUUUGAGAAAUGGUAACUAUCGGAUAAUUAUGGCGCCUUCCACAGGUAAAAAAGUAAAACAGCCCAAGUAGCACUCAUAACUUGUCGUCUGUUGAAUAAUAGUUAGACAGCUGUUUUUGAUCAACAUACAAGACAAAAUUUCAACGUUAGUUAAAUAACAGCUUGUUUCACUACUUGUAUAACUGACUUAUGUAACUCAUGAGAUUUGUGCCACACAAGUGUUAAAACACAGUCUACUUCACUCUUUUCCAACUUAAACACACAACAUAGGGAAUAUUUUCACAUUUUUGGGAGGGUACACACUCAGAAUGAAGAUUCGACUUCGGCAGAAAUAUCUGCCGAACGUGCUCGGCAAAGUGAUAUUCUGCCGAAAUCUCGGCAGAAAAUUCAUUGUUCCAAUAUUCUCGGUUAAAUUUAACCGAUAGUUCGGGAGAUCUAAGCAAAAUGCCGAAGUUCGUCAGUUAAAUUUAACGAAAAUCUCGGCAUGUCCAAAAUCUACCGAGUUCGGCAAUUCAACUGUCAAAUUUGCUAGAAAGUGCCGAGCUGUUCGGUUAGAUGUUGAGGUAGCCAUAUUUGUUUUCGAUAUGAGUAGUGCUCACUGAACUAAGUUCCGGAACUUUGGAUAAAUCGGGAUUUAUACUUGAAUUUCUACAGGAUUUCUGCUUGGAUUUCUACUUGAAAGGUAAACAUUUUUAAUAACAUCUGUUAGGAAAAAUAAUAUCUAAAGGGUCUUUCAUUUGCAGCUUUCACCAAGGAAAUGCAUGACGAUAAAUUGAAUUGAAUUGUUUAUUGACCCAUCGGACCUAAAUGGUCUAAAUGGUUGGGUAUUGCUCGAUGCUUUUACAAAUAAAAUAAAUUACAAUUACAGGUAGCACAAUACAAACAUAAUUUACAACGCGUUAAAAAAUUGUCAUUUUAGAUUCUACUUAACCGAAUUCGUGUCCUCUACUUGAACUCGGCGCGCAGCUUUUCGCGGAACUUGCUCACGGGUUCGUGAAAUUCGAAAAACCUGUAGGCGUCGUUAAAAGCGUCAGAAAUGGACCUCACGGGAGAGUUGCGCUGAUAGUCUGUCCUUGCGAACGAGCGUGCGAGAAGCCCCUGGUCAGCUCGAGGACGCAGAUUUCUGGAAGAAAUAUUUGUAUUUAGUAGGGAUAAGAGAUGUGGGCAAUCAAUUUCAGCGGUCAGGAUCUUAGCAGCGAAGACAGCUUUCGCAAUGGUUCGUCGCGUCUCCAGUGUUUCGAUGCCAAGCAGGUUGCGGCGUGCUUCGUAGCUCGGCAGUCGUGUAGGGUCGUUCCAUUUUUCUGCAGGCGUACCACACGAACUUCUUCUGGAUUCUCUCGAUACGGUCAAUCCAGUUUUGAUGAUAAGGAGACCAGAUUACGGACGAAUAUUCCAAAUGGGACCUGACCAAGGCAAAGUACAACGACCGAAGGCAGAGCGGGUCAUCGAAGUCACGCGCCAUUCUGAACAGAAACCCGAGCUGUCUAUAAGCCUUGUCUACUAUUGCUGAUAGAUGCUGCCGGAAGGUAAGCUUUUCGUCAAGUAGGACCCCAAGGUCUUUCACGACUUCGAGCCGCUCGAGCACGUGCCCACCUAGCGAGUAAUCAAACGAAAACACCUCGCGCCUUGUUUUCCGGUGAAAGGAAAUAGUUGUGCACUUCUGCACGCUGAGUUCCAAGCGGUUCACGUCACACCAGUUAGAGAACUUGUCGAGGCGAGACUGAAGACCGUACCAAUCAGCGAGGUUGUCGAUGGCCAAGAAAAUUUUGAAGUCGUCAGCAUACAGGAGCUUGCAUUUGUCGACUAAGAGCAUCUCCACCGGUGCGCACAUAAAUGAGUGACUAUUUUGUUCACCCACAGCGCUACUAUUUUAGUUUAGUCACCCUUCCCACACCGGUCGUUGAUAAAACGGGUUGGUAAAAUAGUCACUGCCAACCCCACCGGGGGUGAGUAUCAGCUUAUUUUGACGAUUCGAAAUAAAAUUUGUUUUAAUUUAUUGGCAUGACCAAUUUGCCAAAAUCUUCAAAGCCAAAAGUAAUUAUUUCCAAAAAAAACUGGAUUGGUAGUAACCUGGAUUGGUCCGGGUUCCCCGGGGAAUGUUCCGUUGGAGGGACAUUGGCAGCACCGUAUGAAUAUGGGCAAUAUUGGUGUCAAACUUCUCGAUUCUCAAAAUCACAUAUGAAAAUUACGAAAACUGACAUUUUAAACGUACUGGCCGGAACCCGGAUGGUUCCGGGUUUCCCGGGGGAUGUUCCGUUGGAGGGACAUUGGCGACUCCUAUGAAUAUGGGCAAUAUUGGUGUUAAAUUUCACGAUUUGCAAUAUCACAUAUGAAAAUUAUGAAAAUGGACUUUUCUAGUGGACCCGGAUGGUUCAGGGUUCCCCGAGGAAUGUUCAGGGUUCCCCGAGGAAUGUUCCGUUAGAAAGGACAUUGGCCGCACCGUAUCAAUAUGGCCAAUAUUGGUGUCAAACUUCACAAUUUUCAAAAUCACAUGUGAAAAUUACGAAAACUGACAUUUUAAACGGACUGCCCGGAACCCGGAUGGUUCCGGGUUUCCCGGGGGAUGUUCCGUUGGAGAGACAUUGGCGGCUCCUAUGAAUAUGGGCAAUAUUGGUGUUAAAUUUCACGAUUUGCAAUAUUACAUAUGAAAAUUAUUAAAAUUGACAUUUCUAGUGGACCCGGAUGGUUCAGGAUUCCCCGAGGAAUGUUCCGGGUUCCCCGAGGGAUGUUCCGUUGGAAGGACAUUGGCCGCACCGUAUCUAUAUGGCCAAUAUUGGUGUCAAACUUCUCGAUUCUCAAAAUCACAUAUGAAAAUUACGAAAACUGACAUUUUAAACGGACUGGCCGGAACCCGGAUGGUUCCGGGUUUCCCGGGGGAUGUUCCGUUGGAGAGACAUUGGCGGCUCCUAUGAAUAUGGCAAUAUUGGUGUUAAAUUUCACGAUUUGCAAUAUUACAUAUGAAAAUUAUUAAAAUUGACAUUUCUAGUGGACCCGGAUGGUUCAGGGUUCCCCGAGGAAUGUUCCGGGUUCCCCGAGGGAUGUUCCGUUGGAAGGACAUUGGCCGCACCGUAUCUAUAUGGCCAAUAUUGGUGUCAAACUUCACAAUUUUCAAAAUCACAUGUGAAAAUUACGAAAACUGACAUUUUAAACGGACUGGCCGGAACCCGGAUGGUUCCGGGUUCCCCGGAAUAUGUUCCGUUGGAGGGACAUUGGCGGCUACGAUGAAUAUGGGCAAUAUUGGUGUUAAAUUUCACGAUUUUCAAAAUCGCAUAUCGAAAUCACGAAAAUUGACAUUGUGAGUGGACUGGCCACAAUCCGAAUUGGUCCGGGUUCCCUCGGGGAUGUUCCGUUGAGCGGACAUUGGCGGCACCGUAUGAAUAUGGGCAAUAUUGGUGUCAAAAUUCACGAUUUUCAAUAUCACAGAUAAAAAUUACGAAAAUGAAAAUUUUAAACGGACUGGCCACAACCCGAAUCGGAUGUUCCGUUGAGGAGACAUUGGCGGCACCGUAUAAUAUGGGCAAUAUUGGUGUCAAACUUCACGAUUUUCAAAAUCACAUGUGAAAAUUACGAAAAUGGACAUUUUCAACGAACUGGCCACAACCCGGAUGGUUCCGGGUUCCCCGAGGAAUGUUCCGUUGGAAGGUUAUUGGCCGCACCGUAUGAAUAUGGGUAAUAUUGGUGUCAAACUUUACAAUUUUCAAUAUCACAUGUGAAAAUUACGAAAAUGAACUUUUUGAGUGAACUGGCCACAACCCAGGUAGUUCCGAGUUACCCGGGGGAAGUUAUAUAUAAUGGUGUCAAACUUCACGGUUUUCAAAAUCACCUAUCGAAAUUACGAAAAUGAACAUAUAAAGUUUAUUCGUUGUUUCGUUGAAGGGAC